GUCAACCCUUAGACAUCCAGGACACUAGGGAGACCACCCGGGUCCCUAGGCCACUGCCCUGCAUCCUGUCCUUUGAAUCUGACCUCAUCCAUUAGAGCACUUGCUCUCCCGCAGCCCUCUCCUUCCAGCGGUAAGACCAAAGGUGGUAGAGGCAACCCCAAAAUCCACUUGAAAGGCUGGCCAAUGAGUGAGUUUUUCAUGAUCUAAAAGGUUAUGAAGUAAAAGAGAGACUGAGCCUGCGGCACCAGAGAGGCCUGUCGUUAGAAGGAGGGAAAAACAGAGCAAACACAUAUAACUCACCCUGCCCAGGGUGCUGAGAACUGGAGACCGCCUCCCUGCCUUUUUCACCCUGGCGGUGAUGAGCACAGGGGACAUCAUUCUCUGUCUAGACAGUGUCCUGUGGCACAGGGCCGCCCUAUGACAAGUCUCCUGAAGGUCCUGCUCUCACUUCCCUCCUGACGGAAACACUCAGGCUGGCCCAGCUAACCUCACUAAGUGCCCACACCCAAGAACUGCCCGUAGGGGCGGCCUCUCCCGUGUCCCCUGUGCCCCCGGCCCAGAGCCUUCUCCGGGAGCCCACAGAGAGCUGGAGAAGAAGGAGAGCAUCAGGGCCACUGCGUGUGGGUGUGGAGCUUGGCCUGAGGGGACAAGUGGGGCUGCUUCUGUCAACUGGAGGGGCCCAGUCAUCCCAGAGCUGGCCCUUGUUCUAACAGCCACAGAGGCUCCAAGAAGGUGGAAGGGGGCUGAUUCCUCCAGUUCUCCCAGAAACUGCACACCAACCCCCUUCACUACGUUUCUGCACUCAGAGGCUGCCUCUAACCAAAGAGAGGGGCAGCUGCAGGGUUGGCACAUCGCCUGCCGUAAAUCAGGACAUUCAGAAAGGCGGCUCAAGACAGGUAGACCCUAGCCACGUGUGGCUUCAGGCUCUUGAAACACGGCUGGUCCAAAUGGAGAUGUCCUGCUAAAGGUCCCGGGCACGGUACCCCUGAUGAAAAGUGGAUAAAAGAUCACCGCCUGCCUCAGUGUCUGUUACAUAAGGCUCCCAAAACUUUAUAAGAGAAGCAUUUCUCAAACUAAGCAGCUGGCCCUCUGUCUCACCAAUACAUAUCUGCUACUCCUGAGGCAGGUUAUUCAGGUCACCUGCAAGGACUUCAGGUAUUAGUUAGCCCAAAAAAUUGUGAUGGAAGCAAUAGACAUCACUGCCAGCCUGCAUCUUCCUUGUCCUCCCUCCCUUCUCUUCUCUGCCAGUGAAUGCACAGCAUCCAGGAGGACUCAGGGCACUAGAAGAUGGCAGUACCUCCAGACGUAAGGAGCCCAAGUGACAGCAUGCAGGAGUUCCUCCCUCCCCAGCCCACACCUCGAAGAGACUUGCACAGGACUGUAAUGAGAGUGAGAAAUAAACCUUUUUAAAAG
rnacentral:lncRNA from 1 species